AACUUAUGAUCGUGAUGUGUGGCGCGCAGCUUGUGUUUGUUUACAUGGUAGUUUAGUAACCAAUUCUAAAUUAUUGUUGCUUCUUUAAAUAUUAUAUUUCUGCCGAGAUCUGUAUUGUGAAAGACUACAACAUAAACAAAGAAAAUGAGUUUCGCAACAAAGCACCUGCAGGAACAACGCAGGCUGAAGGAGGUUAGCGCCCUCCAGACUAUGGCGCAGCUGGAGGCUAUAGAGGCUGAGAGGAUGAAGAUGGACCUCCGGGCCGAGGGGCGGCAGACGUUGCAGAAGCUGCGCAUUGCCAAGUGGGAAGCCGAAAAGGAAGAGCGGAUUGGCAAGCCAAAAAGUCUGCAGCGAGAACAGCUGUUUAAUCAGCUCCAUCAGGAUGAGGUUCUUGCAGAGGAAAUGGAUAAAGUCAAGCGGCAAGAGAUAGUGCAGCUGAAGCUCAGGCAGCAGUUACGUGAAUCGAGUGUUGAACUAAAAGAGUUAGAAUCGAAGUUGAGAGCAGCGUAUGUCUACAAGGAACUGUGUGCUCAGAAAGCAGAGAAGGAGGCAGAGAAGAUGAGGGAGAAAAUGUACGCAAAUGAAGAGCGAGAGGCUCUCCAGCGGAUGAAGAGGCAAGACGACGAGAUGGAGCUGAAGAAGCAGGAGGAGGAGGCGAAGCGGCAGAUAGAGUAUCGCCACCAGCUGCAGGACCAGAUGAUAGAGGCGUACAACCGGCGGGAGGCCGCCUUCAUUGAGUUCCUGCAGGAGAAGCAGAUGAUUGACGAGGCUGUGCGCAGGAUCCACGAGGAGGACAUGAGGGAGUUUGAGCAGAAGAUGCUAAUGAUGAAGAAGACGAAGAAGGAAAUGGAUGAUUUCAAGAAGGCACGUGACGAGUGGAGGAAGAAGGAAAUGGAAUCAGUUGAAAUGGAAAAUAGGAGGCUCGUGGAGUUCUUGCAGAAGAGAGAAGAGCGGGAAAAAGAAAGGAUGCAACAGUUGAAGGAAAAAGAAGAGAAGAAGGCCAGGGUGAAAGAGAGCCUUUCCCGCAAGCUCUUUGAGGAAGAUCUGAUGCGCCUGGAGCGGACAGACCUGCUGCAGCAGCUGGCGGAGGAAGACCUGCGGCAGGCGGCACUGCGCCGCGAGCAGGAGGACGUGGAGCGCGCCCUGCGCACGCGGCUCGACCUGCAGGACACGAUGCGGCAGCAGGCGCGUGACAAGGCGGAGCGGCUGCGCCGGGAGGCCGAGCAGGAGGACCGCUACCGCCAGCAGCUGACACGUGAGAUAAUGGAGAAGCAGCGCAUCGACCAGUUGACGGCAGAGAGGCAGAGGGUGCGACGUGCUGAGCUGCGGCGGGAGGUGGAGGAAAUGAUAGCAGAGCGUAGGCGGAAGCGGCAGGCGGAACUGCAGGAGCUGCACGAGCAGGAGCAGUGGCUGCAGCGGCUAGACGACGACAGGCGACGCAGGAUAGAAGAGGAACGCCUGCGCAUGCUGAAAGAGCACGCCAGCCGCCUCAUAGGCUUCAUGCCACCUGGCGUCCUGCGCGAGGACGACCUCCCUCACCUGGGUCCGGAGCUGGCCAAGAUGUACAAAGAACAGGCCAUCUGCUGAACCUGAGCAGGUAACAAAAGGGCAUAUCAGCUCACUUCAUUAUAUCGAUGAGCAACAGAAGACAUUCUUAUAACAAGGGACGCUGACAACUGCUUGAUAGUUCUGCACAACCGUAUUUCGAUGAUGAUAAUGUUACCACAAAUUAUUGACACUUUUAUGUAUUCCGUGGAUCAUACCAGGCGAGUCAUUUUGGCACUGUAUUUUUUUAAAUCUUGCAUUUAAAUAUGAAUUAAUGAUACUAGAUUAAGUUUUGUCAUUACCAGACGACUUUAAGAGUCAUAUGCAAACAUAUUUUUGCCUAGGGCUGUGUUAGGAAAUUAAUAAACUUUGUCUCAUACUUUUUAUGAAAAUACCACCUUGUCACUGACUUAAUCUUUUUGUAACAUGUUUUAUAUGGACUCUGGAAGAUUGAUCUCUUAUGCUUGAUCAACUUCUAAUUACACAGUCAAUGUAACGAGUGCACAAUUUUUAAAAUGUCCAUCACAAAAUUACAGACACUGUAGCAUAGGUGCAUGCACCACUUACUGUGCGGUUUGUUUUAGCACGUCAAAGAUGUUGAAACCUUUUAGUGUAGUCUGAAAAUUUUAACAUUGUUUUAUAUUUAAACACGUUUAUACCACUUUGUAUGUUUAUGAGACUGAAAUGUGUUGUACAUGAAUAUGUUUAUAAAAUUUAAUAAAAACUCAUGUUCAAAUAUAUCAUUCAGUAAUACUAGCUGUUCUGCUGAUCU